rnacentral:lncRNA from 1 species
AUUUUUCCGAAAAACACCCCCGGAAAACUUUUCUCACGCGGCUCGACCCUACCCUCUCUCACUUGCGCUGGGCCCGCGGCGCGGACCCACUCCUUCUCCUAUUCCUCCUACCCGCCGGCCUCCUUCCUUCCCGGCCGGGCCUGACUGGGCCGAUUUCUCUUUUUCCUUCUCCUUUCUUACACCCGCGACGGCCCAGCGGCCCUCUUUCUUUUUCUUUUCCCCCGCGGGCGCGGCCUGUCUUUCUCCCUGGGCCUCCGGCCCUUUUUCUCUCUUUGGUUAACCGUGCGCGCUCUUGGGCCUUUAAGGCCACGGCCCAACUGGCCUCCGCGUCCGGCCGGCC